GUGGAAGACUUAAGAUGGCGGCGUUUGCACGGAGUGCAAUCACUGCGUCCUUACGGGGGUUGCAAGGCGUCCGAAGUAUGAGUCCAGUAACAAAAGGCCAGAAACUCGCCAGUUAAUAGUAUUGUGGUUGGAGUGCAAUGGCGCGAUCUCGGCUGACUGCAACCUCCACCUCCUGGAUUCAAGCUAUUCUCCUGCCUCAGCCUGCCGAGUAGCUGGGAUUACAGGCAUGUGCCACCGCACCCAGCUAAUUUUGUAUUUUUUAGUAGAGAUGGGGUUUCUCCAUGUUGGUCAGGCUGGUCUUGAACUCCUGACCUCAGGUGAUCCGCCCACCUCAGCCUCCCAAAGUGCUGGGAUUACAGGCGUGAGCCACCGCGCCCGGCCAGAACAUUAGUUUUAAACUUCCUAACCCUUGGGAGAAGGCAAAACACUUGAUGAAAUCUACAUAAAGACUUAAAACAUUUUACCAAUUUUGCAUUGUUUGUUUGAAAUUGCAUUGACGACUGCCAGACAUGAUGUAUUGAGUAAAAGGAACUUCGGUACACAGGCCUUUAGUGAUGUGGUGGUAAGAUGUAUGAUGGAGUUCGCUCUUGUUGCCCAGGCUGGAAUGCAAUGGCAUGACCUUGGCUCACUGCAACCUCUGCCUCCCCAGUUCAAGUGAUUCUCCUGCCUCAGCCUCCCGAGUAGCUGGGAUUAUAGAAAUACAAAAAAAAUUCUAAAACUUGUAUGGAACUACAAAAGACAUUAAAUAAUCAAAGUAAUCUUGAGCAACAAGGACACAGCUGGAGGCAUCACUCUACCUGAUUUUGUAAUCCAUUAUCAAAAAACUGUGGUACCAGCAUAAAAGCAGAUUCACUGACCAGUGGAACAGGAAAGCCCAGACAUAACUCAUACAUUUCCAUCCAAUUGAUUUUUGACAAAAGUGGCACACAGAAUGGGGAGAGGAUAAAUAAAUAAAUUGUUUUGAGAUAUCUGUA